rnacentral:rRNA from 2 species
AGGUGCGAUCAUACCAGCACUAAUGCACCGGAUCCCAUCAGAACUCCGCAGUUAAGCGUGCUUGGGCGAGAGUAGUACUUAGGAUGGGUGAAUAAGCUUUGGUCAAAAGUUGUUGAAUGCUACCU